AUGCCACGUGGGAGGCGGCGGAGCCGCCGCCGCCGCCGGGCCGGAGUCGCGGCCCCGCUGACGCUGGGGACGGCGCUCGCCGGUCGCCGCGAGGAGGGGAGGUCGCGGAGCCCCCGGGACCGCACCGGGAUCGCCGAGACCCGAUGGGUGCUCGGCGCGGUGGCGCCCGGCUCGCGGCUCGGCCUCCCGGGCCUAGAGGCGCUGGCGGCGGCGGCCGGGCCUAGAGGCGGCUCCCCGCCCUGGGCGGCGCCCUCGCUGCUGCAGGUGCCGGCGGCGGCCCAGCCGGCCCCGCGGCGGGAUGGCAGCGACCUUCCCGCCGGCGCGCCCGCCGCCCUGGCCGUGCUGCGCCUUCAGCCCGGCGCCGAGGGCUCGGCGCGGGCGGCGGCGGCCGGGGCCGCGCCGCGCCUGCGGACCGUCUACGUGAACCCGCGCUGGCUGGAGCGCCAGGCCGCGCUGGGGGCGGCGGCGGCGGCCGCCAGCCCCUGCGCCGAGGCGGCAGCGGCGAGCGGCGCGGCCGGGGCCCCGGCUCCGGUUCCGGCCCCGGCCCCGGCCCCGGCCCCGGCUCCGGCGGCGGCGGCGGGGCAGGGCGAGGCCGAGGCGGCGGCCACCCCCUACGUGGGGCUGCGGCGGCCGCUGGGCUACAAGCUGGCCAAGGCCACCAAGGAGCGGAUCUGGCGGGGGGAGUUCAUUGACCUCUUUUCCUUGCUCCACACAGAGCUGGCCCCCGAGCACGGCCCGCGCCCGGGGGACACGCUGGACCAGUGGGUCUCGGCCUUCCUGGUGUACGCCAGCGUGCUGUGCGAGAAGCACCCGGCGCGCUGCGGAGCCAUGUUCAAGUACCUGGACACCAUCCGCAAGCUGCACGCCACCUACGGGGGCACGUCCUGGAUGAACUACGAUGAGGACUUUCGGCGGCGGGCGGCCAAGAACCCUUCUCUGCCCUGGGGCGACGUCGACUUGGACCUGUGGAUGAAGUGGAUGGCGCCCCUCAAGUCGCUUGUCCCCAGGCGCCCGCGUGCUGAGAGCGAGACACAGGCCUCGCCGGCCCAGCCGCCACCGCCGGGCCAGAGCCCCAAGCAGGAGGAGAAAAGCCAGACUCCAUGAAAACAGAGGACCAGUUGGGAUGGAAGUCAGACUAAGUGGCCUGACUCCGUUGGUGUUUAAGUGGAGCUCUGGUAUUCUAGUGCAUUCUUUUACCUCUGCUUCUGUUGCGUUGCAAGCUGUGCUAGAGAAGACGUAGGAAAUUCAUUUUACCCAAUCAGCAAUUGUAACAAUGGACUACAAACCUGCAGAGCAAGCCAGUUUGCUGGAAAACAGGAAUUCCUGCAGCGCAGCACUUGUCACAGACUAUCCAAAGAGGGCAAAGAUUCAGGAAGGUGAAUAAAUUGAACACUGGGUGAAUGAGGUCA
rnacentral:lncRNA from 1 species